UACGUAGGGGGCAAGCGUUGUCCGGAAUUAUUGGGCGUAAAGAGCGUGUAGGCGGCCAGGUAGGUCUGCUGUGAAAACUCGAGGCUCAACCUCGAGACGUCGGCGGAAACCAUCUGGCUAGAGUCCGGAAGAGGAGAGUGGAAGUUCCUGGUGUAGCGGUGAAAUGCGCAGAUAUCAGGAAGAACACCCGUGGCGAAGGCGGCUCUCUGGGACGGUACUGACGCUGAGACGCGAAGCGUGGGGAGCGAACAGG
rnacentral:rRNA from 1 species